CUGAAUCAGUGUGUGUGUUAGUGGAAGCGUCUGGAAAGGCGCGCGAUACAGGGUGACAGCCCCGUACACAAAAAUGCACAUACUGUGAGCUCGAUGAGUAGGGCGGGACACGUGGUAUCCUGUCUGAAUAUGGGGGGACCAUCCUCCAAGGCUAAAUACUCCUGACUGACCGAUAGUGAACCAGUACCGUGAGGGAAAGGCGAAAAGAACCCCGGCGAGGGGAGUGAAAAAGAACCUGAAACCGUGUACGUACAAGCAGUGGGAGCACGCUUCGGCGUGUGACUGCGUACCUUUUGUAUAAUGGGUCAGCGACUUAUAUUCUGUAGCAAGGUUAACCGAAUAGGGGAGCCGAAGGGAAACCGAGUCUUAACUGGGCGUUAAGUUGCAGGGUAUAGACCCGAAACCCGGUGAUCUAGCCAUGGGCAGGUUGAAGGUUGGGUAACACUAACUGGAGGACCGAACCGACUAAUGUUGAAAAAUUAGCGGAUGACUUGUGGCUGGGGGUGAAAGGCCAAUCAAACCGGGAGAUAGCUGGUUCUCCCCGAAAGCUAUUUAGGUAGCGCCUCGUGAAUUCAUCUCCGGGGGUAGAGCACUGUUUCGGCAAGGGGGUCAUCCCGACUUACCAACCCGAUGCAAACUGCGAAUACCGGAGAAUGUUAUCACGGGAGACACACGGCGGGUGCUAACGUCCGUCGUGAAGAGGGAAACAACCCAGACCGCCAGCUAAGGUCCCAAAGUCAUGGUUAAGUGGGAAACGAUGUGGGAAGGCCCAGACAGCCAGGAUGUUGGCUUAGAAGCAGCCAUCAUUUAAAGAAAGCGUAAUAGCUCACUGGUCGAGUCGGCCUGCGCGGAAGAUGUAACGGGGCUAAACCAUGCACCGAAGCUGCGGCAGCGACACUAUGUGUUGUUGGGUAGGGGAGCGUUCUGUAAGCCUGUGAAGGUGUGCUGUGAGGCAUGCUGGAGGUAUCAGAAGUGCGAAUGCUGACAUAAGUAACGAUAAAGCGGGUGAAAAGCCCGCUCGCCGGAAGACCAAGGGUUCCUGUCCAACGUUAAUCGGGGCAGGGUGAGUCGACCCCUAAGGCGAGGCCGAAAGGCGUAGUCGAUGGGAAACAGGUUAAUAUUCCUGUACUUGGUGUUACUGCGAAGGGGGGACGGAGAAGGCUAUGUUGGCCGGGCGACGGUUGUCCCGGUUUAAGCGUGUAGGCUGGUUUUCCAGGCAAAUCCGGAAAAUCAAGGCUGAGGCGUGAUGACGAGGCACUACGGUGCUGAAGCAACAAAUGCCCUGCUUCCAGGAAAAGCCUCUAAGCAUCAGGUAACAUUAAAUCGUACCCCAAACCGACACAGGUGGUCAGGUAGAGAAUACCAAGGCGCUUGAGAGAACUCGGGUGAAGGAACUAGGCAAAAUGGUGCCGUAACUUCGGGAGAAGGCACGCUGAUAUGUAGGUGAAGUCCCUCGCGGAUGGAGCUGAAAUCAGUCGAAGAUACCAGCUGGCUGCAACUGUUUAUUAAAAACACAGCACUGUGCAAACACGAAAGUGGACGUAUACGGUGUGACGCCUGCCCGGUGCCGGAAGGUUAAUUGAUGGGGUUAGCGGUAACGCGAAGCUCUUGAUCGAAGCCCCGGUAAACGGCGGCCGUAACUAUAACGGUCCUAAGGUAGCGAAAUUCCUUGUCGGGUAAGUUCCGACCUGCACGAAUGGCGUAAUGAUGGCCAGGCUGUCUCCACCCGAGACUCAGUGAAAUUGAACUCGCUGUGAAGAUGCAGUGUACCCGCGGCAAGACGGAAAGACCCCGUGAACCUUUACUAUAGCUUGACACUGAACAUUGAGCCUUGAUGUGUAGGAUAGGUGGGAGGCUUUGAAGUGUGGACGCCAGUCUGCAUGGAGCCGACCUUGAAAUACCACCCUUUAAUGUUUGAUGUUCUAACGUUGACCCGUGAUCCGGGUUGCGGACAGUGUCUGGUGGGUAGUUUGACUGGGGCGGUCUCCUCCUAAAGAGUAACGGAGGAGCACGAAGGUUGGCUAAUCCUGGUCGGACAUCAGGAGGUUAGUGCAAUGGCAUAAGCCAGCUUGACUGCGAGCGUGACGGCGCGAGCAGGUGCGAAAGCAGGUCAUAGUGAUCCGGUGGUUCUGAAUGGAAGGGCCAUCGCUCAACGGAUAAAAGGUACUCCGGGGAUAACAGGCUGAUACCGCCCAAGAGUUCAUAUCGACGGCGGUGUUUGGCACCUCGAUGUCGGCUCAUCACAUCCUGGGGCUGAAGUAGGUCCCAAGGGUAUGGCUGUUCGCCAUUUAAAGUGGUACGCGAGCUGGGUUUAGAACGUCGUGAGACAGUUCGGUCCCUAUCUGCCGUGGGCGCUGGAGAACUGAGGGGGGCUGCUCCUAGUACGAGAGGACCGGAGUGGACGCAUCACUGGUGUUCGGGUUGUCAUGCCAAUGGCACUGCCCGGUAGCUAAAUGCGGAAGAGAUAAGUGCUGAAAGCAUCUAAGCACGAAACUUGCCCCGAGAUGAGUUCUCCCUGACUCCUUGAGAGUCCUGAAGGAACGUUGAAGACGACGACGUUGAUAGGCCGGGUGUGUAAGCGCAGCGAUGCGUUGAGCUAACCGGUACUAAUGAACCGUGAGGCUUAACCUU
rnacentral:rRNA from 1 species